rnacentral:rRNA from 1 species
GUAGGGGGCAAGCGUUGUCCGGAAUUAUUGGGCGUAAAGAGCUCGUAGGCGGUUCGGUAAGUCGGGUGUGGAAAUCCAGGGCUCAACCCUGGGACGCCACUCGAUACUGCUGUGACUAGAGUCCGGUAGAGGAGCGUGGAAUUUCUGGUGUAGCGGUGAAAUGCGCAGAUAUCAGAAGGAACACCAGCGGCGAAGGCGGCGCUCUGGGCCGGUACUGACGCUGAGGAGCGAAAGCGUGGGGAGCAAACAGGGAUUAGAUACCCUGGUAGUCCACGCCGUAAACGUUGGGCACUAGGUAUGGGGUCUUAUCAACGGAUUCCGUGCCGUAGCUAACGCAUUAAGUGCCCCGCCUGGGGAGUACGGCCGCAAGGCUA